rnacentral:rRNA from 1 species
GACAGAGGGUGCAAACGUUGUUCGGAAUUACUGGGCGUAAAGCGCGUGUAGGCGGCCCUGCAAGUCGGAUGUGAAAUCCCACGGCUCAACCGUGGAAGUGCAUUCGAAACUGCAGGGCUAGAGUCCUGGAGAGGAAGGUGGAAUGCUUGGUGUAGAGGUGAAAUUCGUAGAUAUCAAGCGGAACACCGGUGGCGAAGGCGGGUCUCUGGACAGUUCCUGACGCUGAGGCACGAAGGCCAGGGGAGCAAACGGG